rnacentral:rRNA from 1 species
UACGUAGGCAGCGAGCGUUGUUCGGAGUUACUGGGCGUAAAGGGUGUGUAGGCGGUUGUUUAAGUUUGGGGUGAAAUCUCCCGGCUCAACUGGGAGGGUGCGCCGAAUACUGAAUGACUUGGAGUGCGGGAGAGGAAAGUGGAAUUCCUGGUGUAGCGGUGAAAUGCGUAGAUAUCAGGAGGAACACCGGUGGUGUAGACGGCUUUCUGGACCGUAACUGACGCUGAGACACGAAAGCGUGGGGAGCAAACAGG